UGGGGAAUCUUCCGCAAUGGACGAAAGUCUGACGGAGCAACGCCGCGUGAGUGAAGAAGGUUUUCGGAUCGUAAAACUCUGUCUUUUGGGGCGAACGUGAGUAUGGUGAACAAUCAUAGUCAGUGACGGUACCAAAGGAGGAAGCCACGGCUAACUACGUGCCAGCAGCCGCGGUAAUACGUAGGUGGCAAGCGUUGUCCGGAAUUAUUGGGCGUAAAGAGCGCGUAGGCGGGAUAGUCAGUCUGUUGUAAAAGUGCGGGGCUCAACCCCGUGAUGGCAAUGGAAACAGCUAUUCUUGAGUGCAGGAGAGGAAAGUGGAAUUCCCAGUGUAGCGGUGAAAUGCGUAGAUAUUGGGAGGAACACCAGUGGCGAAGGCGACUUUCUGGACUGUGUCUGACGCUGAGGCGCGAAAGCCAGGGGAGCGAACGGGAUUAGAUACCCCGGUAGUCCUGGCCGUAAACGAUGGGUACUAGGUGUGGGAGGUAUCGACCCCUUCCGUGCCGGAGUUAACGCAAUAAGUACCCCGCCUGGGGAGUACGGUCGCAAGACUGAAACUUAAAAGGAAUUGACGGGGGUCAUAGCUGUUUCCUG
rnacentral:rRNA from 1 species